rnacentral:piRNA from 1 species
UAUGUCAAAGUUAUAAAAACC